CAAGUGCUCUGGCUCUGCCGCUGGUAUCAACUGAUACGAGAGGAAAGUCCGGGCAACACAGGACACUCCACUUCUGAAAGUAGAAGCUAUUGGUGACAGUAGGUGUCGGUAGAAGAAAAUAACCGCUCACUGGCAACAGGGAGUAAGGGUGAGAAGGUGGUGUAAGAGACCACCAGCUAACGGGCGAUCGUUAGGCUGUGCCAUCUGGAGGUUGCAAAUUCGCGUAAACCAUUGACGGAGAGUUGUCCGCUCGAACACUCGGUAGACUGGGAGCGUCAUGCUACAGUAGACCGCUUGUGGCAAUGGAGGGUAGAAUGCUGGAGUUGGAGGGUGACCUUCAAUGUAGAUAAAUGGUGGAGCACCAGUGCAAACUUGGUGACAGAACCCGGCUUAUAGGAGCACUUGAUUU
rfam:Prevotella timonensis CRIS 5C-B1 contig00019, whole genome shotgun sequence.